CUAAGAAUAUUCCGCAAUGGACGGAAGUCUGAUGGAGCGACGCCGCGUGGAUGACGAAGGCCGAAAGGUUGUAAAGUUCUUUUGCUGGGGAAGAAUAACCGCAGGAGGGAAUGCCUGUGGGAUGACAAGAACCGGCGAAUAAGCCCCGGCCAACUACGUGCCAGCAGCCGCGGUAACACGUAGGGGGCGAGCGUUGUUCGGAAUUACUGGGCGUAAAGGGCAUGUAGGCGGCUUGGAAAGCCUGGCGUGAAAGUCUGCAGCUUAACUGCAGGGGUGCGCUGGGAACUGCUGAGCUUGAGUGACGGAGAGGGAGCUGGAAUUCCUGGUGUAGGGGUGAAAUCUGUAGAUAUCAGGAAGAACACCGAUGGCGAAGGCAAGCUCCUGGCCGAUGACUGACGCUGAGGUGCGAAAGUGUGGGGAUCAAAACAGGAUUAGAUACCCUGGUAGUCCACACAGUCAACGAUGUGCACUAGGUGCUGGGGCGGUAGCUUCGGCGCCGGAGCGAACGUGGUAAGUGCACCGCCUGGGGAGUAUGCUCGCAAGGGUGAAACUCAAAU
rnacentral:rRNA from 1 species